UUUUAUAGGUGAGCAAAGAAAAUAGUUUCUUAAGAUGGAAUCUAUUCCUCGUGAAGAUUCUGUGAA
rnacentral:pre_miRNA from 1 species